rnacentral:lncRNA from 1 species
ACAACAAUCUUACUGGAUAUAUUAGGAGAUAGUUGACGGACUGGGUACAUAGGAACCCUACUGUGAACGGUGCUUCAUACCGGAUGGGAUAUCAAGCUUUGGUAAUUUGGCGCUCAUACCAGACGGGGUAUGGGGACAACCCGUUUCCCCUCACACCGGACGGGGUAUCGAGAUUUGGUAAUUUGGUGUUCAUACCGGACGGGGUAUCGAGAUUUAGUAAUUUAGCACUCAUACCGUACGGGAUAUGGAAAC